rnacentral:lncRNA from 1 species
GGCUGUCCCAAGAUGCCUGCUGGCUACAGGCACAAAGCAACACAACCUGUGAUUCUAGAAGUGGGACCAUGUUUCUAGCUUUAUUCGACAACCCCAACAUUCAAGGUGUGAGGUGUCCGGGGAUGUGGCCAGCCCCUUCUAACCACUACCUUGUGAAGCCUUGCUCAAUGGCUUCCAAGGAGUGCACAUUCUUCAGCCUAAACUGAGUCCCAUGGCUCUGAUGUCCUGCCUUUGAUCAUUGGCUCAAAGAAAUGGAGCCAGUCAACCGUGCACUGAGACGUUUGGAACCACAAAAUCCACUAUAAAGUUGCUUUUCUUAGCUAUUUUAA